AGGUGCUGCUGGUGAAAGAGGGGUGUGAGGAGGGUCUGGGAAAGCCUCAGGGGAACAUGGUCAUGGAGGACAACCAGACUACACCUCCUCCUGAACCCACAGAGGAUCCAGCUAAGCAGCACAGGACCACACACAGUCUUACUGAGGAUAGGAAGCCUGAUCUGCUGCUAAUAAAAUAAGACACCAUACAAGAUGGAUCAGAGAGCAUUGAUCUGCUGAGUGGACUAAAGAUGGGGGCGCAAGGUGGUUGGCUGGAGGCUAACAGAGGAGACUGGGCGGCCAUCUUGGAUUCCCAUAGAUGGGGAGGACAUCACUGAGCAUGCCAGGACCAGCGGCGACAUAGUGGAGGUCAGUGGAUUGGACAGUGUCUUCAACUCUGGGCUGGGGAACAACACUGUUAACUGUCGGGGUAGGUUCCUUGUCAAUCAUUGGCUUAUUGGUGAAAUCAGCAGUCAGACAAUACAUUUUUUAAGUAAAUCAAUCAAACCUUUAUUAAUGCAAUUUCAGACAGAAGUUGACAAUGGAAACACAGCAUGUGUGUUUCAGAAUAAGUUCGGCAUCGCACCUAGGGGCGCAGCUGAUUUUAUACAAGUGAUCACUCCCUGGUGGUAUGAUCACCUACGUCAAUGUAUGUAUACAGCAAUAUGCUGAGGUUACCUUAUAAGGUAACCUAGUACACUAGCUUCUCUGAAUUCAUUAGCAUUGUCCACUGUCACACAAGAUCAAAAUGUCAAAACCAGACAGUGGUUACUUCUCUUUAUCUAGUUUCGGUCUGACUCAGACUUAGCCUGCAAGCACACUCUUACAACAGUCUUAACCACAAAUACUAAUAUAGAUGGCUUGUACAACGUAUAGUGGCAGAGUUUUAGGCACAUAACAGUAUCUAUUAUAAGGCCUGCAGCAAAACAUAUGACUCUUAAGGUCGCCUUAAUCAAUAAUGGGGAGGGUCUUUGGGACCCUAACCUCUUCAUAACCACAAUCAGAAACAGACAGUCGAACACAGAACAACAACCAAACUUAGUCUCCGUGACAACAGACUGGCAGAGACGAGGGCAAGGUGUAGAUUUGGUCUACGGGGAGGUGUCCAUAUGCGUUGGGAGAGAACAGACACAGACUUGGCUAGCGAUGCUCCAUCCUGCUAUUAUAGUUGUGAUUCAGAGAGACUGACGCCUCAGGUUAACCCCCUAACAGGUGCUGCCUUCAGCCUGCCUUCUAUAGGAUCUAUCAACUGAACCAUGGAUCCUGCAACAACACAAACACUGCCUGACCUUCGUCCUCCUCUCCUUAUGUUAAACCAGACCUCAGACAAUGUCAGUUCCUCAACACUAAAUCGCUACACAAGCCCAUUGACAAAUGACAGUAGUAGUAACGCUAUCAGCAGAUCUAAUGGCAAAGAGAAGCAUUUCCCCAAACAGGUGGAGAUCCAACAAGAGGAUGCACACGGGGGUUGUACACUUUUGGCUGUACCCAGUGUCAGAUGCGCUUUGCCAAUGCUUGUCACCUGAAGAGACACCAGAGGGUCCACACAGGGGAGAAAUUGUUCAGCUGCCACCUAUGCCGGGUCAGUUUCUCCCACUCGUCCAGCCUGAAGAGGCACCAGAGGGUCCACACGGGAUAUAUCUAUUAGCUGCUCCCAGUGUGACUAAAGGUUCUUCCACCAGCAUCAUCUGAAGAUGUUACUUGAAGGUCCACACGGGAGAGAGGCCGCUCGCCUGUACGCAAUGAGUUUCUCAGAGAGGCGCUAUCUCAGGAAUGACCCGCAGAAAAUGCACAUGGCCCAUGUAUAGAGUAUAGUGACAUGUAAUGUAGUCCUAGUUAGUUAGUUUGUAGUUAAUUCUGUUGGUUUUGGAUGUAGUAGGGAACUGGAUGAGGUGAACUGAGGAAAGAAUGAGUAUGAUGAGGCAGGGUUGAUGGUUGGUGUGAUGGCAUCUGUAAAAAUGCUUCUCUGAUAAAGUGACAACCUUGUCCUGUUUGAUGCCUGUGUUUUAUCAUGUGGAAAUGAUAGUGCCUUAAUUCAUGUUUAUUUGACAUGAAGAUGUGUGUAAUGUUUAACCUUUUCCAAAGUAUUCUCAAAUAAAUGUUCUCAAAGCGAGGGUACCAAAUGUACAGAAAGGCAGAGGCUACGAAUAGAGUUUUCAUCCCCUCUUUCUCAAAUCUAAGGAUCCAAAUCACAUUCUGCGCAUGUGUUAUUUACGCAUGUUCAAGUUUCUCUAUUUACUCACCCUCUUCUGAACCCAAAAGCAAUUUGAUCGAUAUGAUGAUAUAGCCGAUGUCUCUGCUUCAUAUGUCUGAACAGCUGCGAUUUUAAUGAAAGUUCCAAAAAUAUGUAUGAAGGCUACAACCUUCUCUGUCUGGUGUAACUGAUAUUGCUGUAAAAAAUAGUCUCAAACAAGACGGUCUACACAUUGGGACAAAACAAUUAGCGUUUUGUGUGAUGAUAUAAAUCUUUAUAGUUAUGCUGCCAUAUAGCCAGUUUUCUGCCUCCUGUUUAGCCCAUGUUUGCAAUGAUGAUGAAAAUAUAACAUUGCUAGACGACUGUUACAAGAGGCAUAACUAUGUUUUUUCUAACUGUUUUGUGUACAGUUGAAGUCGGAAGUUUACAUACACCUAGGUUGGAGUCAUUAAAUAUCGU